GUCCUCUUUCAGGAUUGGCUGCCCCUUCAUAACCAUAAGAUAAUUAAAACGAGGGGGGGGGCAGGGUUAAAAAAAAAACUUUUUUAUCAGCCAGAGGUUAAUGCAAGUGUUUAACAGAUGCUUCACUAUUAAAAUAUUUUCCCCUAAGUCUCAAAUAUUGAAGAAUCUCAAAUCAGGGACACCAGCCUCGGCGAAGACCUUGGGCGACUUCAAAGCGCAGGCACCUCGAUUCCCCGAAUCUAUGUUGUGUGGCGGGUAUCGGUGUUCCCCUGUUUUAACUAGCCUGUUUGAAGGCGCAGAUCCUUCUUGGGGAAGUCUCACUGAAACCAGGUCUCCCUGCUCUCCCAGGGGCUUCGGUUUUCCCAGUCUGCCUCUGCUUGUGACUCCAGAAAGACAAACUUCCGAUUGGCCAAGAGAAUCCACACUUCUUGGUUUCCACUGGGCCCAAUGUAAAUGCCAUCUCCUCCAGGAAGCUUUUCCAGGUAUGACUUCUCUUCUUUCUGCUCCCCAAAUGAAGUCUCCCUUUUUCUGAACUCCCGUUGGUGCUCCCUCAUCUUCUCUCUGGUAGAUCCCUGGGCACAUGUCUUUCCCCUCCUGUGACUGUGGGUUCCCUGAGAGCCCAAUCAAGGCUCUGUGCCGAGUGGGUGCUUAAACAGCUUGUGUAACAGGGACGGCAAAAUAGAGUGAAUUCCGCGCAUCCCCAGUUGCAAUCGGAUUUCAAUUUUCUUUAUUUUGAAAGCAACCAGGGCUAGAGGCGGAAGGACCCUGUCAUCCCAAAGGUAGCAGACCUUCAUCGCCAAGGCUUCAGGGAAGGCUCCCUGGCUGGACAGCGCGCGCGAGGGCUCUGUGUCGCCGGUGUGGGAUGGAGAGGGGGAGACCUAGCCCGGCCUGGCCUCCCCUGGGCCCUCAGCCUCCCGAGCUCCAGAGCUGGCGUGGCGGGCUCCGGCUCCCUCCCGCUGGUUUCUCUAAGCCUGGUUUGCGCAUCUGACCAAUGCGGCAGCGACGCCGGCCGCGGGGCGCGCGGCAGAUAGGUGAGAUCAAGGCGCACACGGGGCUGGAUGCCCGACACACCCGGGCUGCGCGCAAUAAACGUGUGUGUCUUUUCCUGCCUCUCGCGUUU
rnacentral:lncRNA from 1 species